CAGGGAAUGAUUGUCUCGUCCCGCUGAUCGUUCCCUCUGUGUUAUCCACCGCCCGAUCGUCGUCGCUCAACUCAGAGAUCCCAAAGAUGACUUCAACCUCAGAUGAAGUCAGUUCAAUGAAACAUGUCAAGGAUAAAAGCACACAGCGUUUAUUUAGGGUCAGCUAGGCUGCCGGAGAGAUGAGAGGGGGGUUUUAAUCAGCUAUCAUCUGAAAAUAAGAGAACGCAUAGCGAUAACCCCAUGAUCCGGUGCUUGUGCUGACAUUUUUUGUAUCGAGCCAAGUCUUUGAACCUAUGCACAUAGCAUUAGCGAUUUUAAAAGUUUUUUUAAACAAUAAAUCACCUUUCGGGAUUACGCUACGUUGCCGUUAUCUGUUUUUAUGAGACCACAGUAUCAUCUUUGGGAUCUCUGAGCGAGGACGAUCAUGGCGGUGGAUAACACAGAGGGACGAUCAGCGGAUCAGCGGGACGAGACAAUCAUUCCCUGAUGUCCUGACAGACCUAACCCAUAAUCAUCCAGCAGCGUUACUAACAGCCUACGAGGAGGAUUGCUGUGACCGUCCAUCCAGGCUCUUUAAUUGCCAAGUUCUGGUAAGUGUACACUUCAUAGGGAGAGGGAUUCGCUAAUAGAGUGGGAGUCAAAGCUUACUGCACAUCGGAGCGUCAUUUUUUGGAGCCCUCCUGUGGAACAAUUUUAUCAAUUAAUUUAUCACCAGCACUGCAUUUAUCUGCAAGUUACAUCAACUAGGAAGAUGUAGGAGCGCUGUUCGCUUCUGUCACACACAUUGUUUGAGGAUCAGCUGUCCACAGACUGACUGAAAGGGACGAUGGACGGAGCCAUGUACCAUGAAGUCUUGAGUCAGAACAAGGACAAAAUCCCUCCUGAGAUGUGUGCAAACCUGGUGGCCAACUACAAGAAAUGUCUGACCUCUAUGAUUGCCAACAAGGGUUUUGCCACCGAGUACCAAGCCAUGUUUUGCGAAGAGGUCAAAUACUUCUUUCACUCAAUUAAAGUGCAAAUCAAUUUUAUAACUUUUUCGAAAUGCAUUUUUCUGAUUUUUUGUUGUUGUUGUUCUGUCUCUCACUGUUAAAAUAAACAUACCAUUAAGUUCA